UGAAUGUCUAUGAUUUGGGUUCUGUGUAU
rnacentral:piRNA from 1 species